rnacentral:ncRNA from 1 species
GGAAAUACAUUGAAAGAGGAAAGUAAUAUAAAUUGAAUUUACAGAGAGGAAAUCUAGUAUGCUGAGAGGAUUUCUAUAUAAAGAUUUAUAUGAAGUGCCCUCUGGAGUAUUGCACCGAAAUAUUAAGUAGGCUGCAACGGAAUCAACCGUUAAAUUGAUAGAGCAUAUAAUGUGCUUGAAUAUAUCACACAAUUUUUUGUGUAGAGUGGAAUAACGAAUAAUAACUUCGUCUCUAUA